rnacentral:rRNA from 1 species
GACAGAGGUGCCAAGCGUUAGGCGGAAUCACUGGGCUUAAAGCGUGUGUAGGCGGAUAUCUAAGUACCUUGUGAAAUCCCACGGCUCAACCGUGGAACUGCUUGGUAUACUGGGUGUCUUGAGCCAUCUAGGGGGCUACCGGAACAAAUGGUGGAGCGGUGAAAAUGCGUAGAUAUCAUUUGGAACGCCAAUGGUGAAAACAGGUAGCUGGGGGAUGUGCUGACGCUGAGACACGAAAAGCCAGGGGAGCAAAACGGGG